UACGGAGGGGGCUAGCGUUGUUCGGAAUCAUUGGGCGUAAAGCGCACGCAGGCGGAUUGAUAAGUCAGGGGUGAAAUCCCGGAGCUCAACUUCGGAAUUGCCUUUGAUACUGUCUGUCUUGAGUCCGGGAGAGGUGAGUGGAAUUCCUAGUGUAGAGGUGAAAUUCGUAGAUAUUAGGAAGAACACCAGUGGCGAAGGCGGCUCACUGGCCCGGUACUGACGCUCAUGUGCGAAAGCGUGGGGAGCAAACAGGG
rnacentral:rRNA from 1 species